rnacentral:rRNA from 1 species
UACGGGGGGGGCAAGCGUUGUUCGGAAUUACUGGGCGUAAAGGGCUCGUAGGCGGCCAACUAAGUCCGACGUGAAAUCCCCAGGCUUAACCUGGGAACUGCGUCUGAUACUGGAUGGCUUGAGAUUGGGAGAGGGAUGCGGAAUUCCAGGUGUAGCGGUGAAAUGCGUAGAUAUCUGGAGGAACACCGGUGGCGAAGGCGGCAUCCUGGACCAACACUGACGCUGAGGAGCGAAAGCCAGGGGAGCAAACGGG